rnacentral:rRNA from 1 species
AUUGAACGCUGGCGGCAGGCCUAACACAUGCAAGUCGAGCGGAUGAAGGGAGCUUGCUCCUGGAUUCAGCGGCGGACGGGUGAGUAAUGCCUAGGAAUCUGCCUGGUAGUGGGGGAUAACGUCCGGAAACGGGCGCUAAUACCGCAUACGUCCUGAGGGAGAAAGUGGGGGAUCUUCGGACCUCACGCUAUCAGAUGAGCCUAGGUCGGAUUAGCUAGUUGGUGGGGUAAAGGCCUACCAAGGCGACGAUCCGUAACUGGUCUGAGAGGAUGAUCAGUCACACUGGAAAUGAGACACGGUCCAGACUCCUACGGGAGGCAGCAGUGGGGAAUAUUGGACAAUGGGGGAAAGACUGAUCCCGCCAUGCCGCGUGUGUGAAGAAGGUCUUCGGAUUGUAAAGCACUUUAAGUUGGGAGGAAGGGCAGUAAGUUAAUACCUUGCUGUUUUGACGUUACCAACAGAAUAAGCACCGGCUAACUUCGUG